rnacentral:rRNA from 1 species
UUUAAAGAGAGUUUGAUCCUGGCUCAGGACGAACGCUGGCGGCGUGCCUAAUACAUGCAAGUCGAACGAACGGAGGAAGAGCUUGCUCUUCCAAAGUUAGUGGCGGACGGGUGAGUAACACGUGGGCAACCUGCCUGUAAGUUGGGGAUAACUCCGGGAAACCGGGGCUAAUACCGAAUGAUAAAGUGUGGCGCAUGCCACGCUUUUGAAAGAUGGUUUCGGCUAUCGCUUACAGAUGGGCCCGCGGUGCAUUAGCUAGUUGGUAG